rnacentral:rRNA from 1 species
GAUGAACGCUGGCGGCGUGCCUAAUACAUGCAAGUCGAGCGAACAGACGAGAGUGCUUGCACUCUCUGACGUUAGCGGCGGACGGGUGAGUAACACGUGGGUAACCUACCUAUAAGACUGGGAUAACUUCGGGAAACCGGAGCUAAUACCGGAUAAUAUUUAGCUUCGCAUGAAGCAAUAGUGAAAGACGGUUCUGCUGUCACUUAUAGAUGGACCCGCGGUGUAUUAGCUAGUUGGUGAGGUAACGGCUCACCAAGGCAACGAUACAUAGCCGACCUGAGAGGGUGAUCGGCCACACUGGGACUGAGACACGGCCCAGACUCCUACGGGAGGCAGCAGUAGGGAAUCCUCCGCAAUGGACGAAAGUCUGACGGAGCAAUGCCGCGUGAGUGAAGAAGGUUUUCGGAUCGUAAAACUCUGUUGUAAGGGAAGAACAAGUACGUUAGUAACUGAACGUACCUUGACGGUACCUUACCAGAAAGCCACGGCUAACUACGUG